UACAGAGGUCUCAAGCGUUGUUCGGAUUCAUUGGGCGUAAAGGGUGUGUAGGUGGCGCCGUAAGUCGGGUGUGAAAUUUCGGAGCUUAACUCCGAAACUGCAUUCGAUACUGCGGUGCUUGAGGACUGGAGAGGAGACUGGAAUUCAUGGUGUAGCAGUGAAAUGCGCAGAUAUCAGGAGGAACACCGGUGGCGAAGGCGGGUCUCUGGGCAGUAACUGACGCUGAGGAGCGAAAGCGUGGGGGAGCGAACAGG
rnacentral:rRNA from 1 species